GACGAACGCUGGCGGCGUGCUUAACACAUGCAAGUCGAACGGAAAGGCCCUGCUUUUGUGGGGUGCUCGAGUGGUGAACGGGUGAGUAACACGUGAGUAACCUGCCCUUGACUUUGGGAUAACUUCAGGAAACUGGGGCUAAUACCGGAUAGGAGCUCCUGCUGCAUGGUGGGGGUUGGAAAGUUUCGGCGGUUGGGGAUGGACUCGCGGCUUAUCAGCUUGUUGGUGGGGUAGUGGCUUACCAAGGCUUUGACGGGUAGCCGGCCUGAGAGGGUGACCGGCCACAUUGGGACUGAGAUACGGCCCAGACUCCUACGGGAGGCAGCAGUGGGGAAUAUUGCACAAUGGGCGGGAGCCUGAUGCAGCAACGCCGCGUGCGGGAUGACGGCCUUCGGGUUGUAAACCGCUUUCGCCUGUGACGAAGCGUGAGUGACGGUAAUGGGUAAAGAAGCACCGGCUAACUACGUG
rnacentral:rRNA from 1 species